CCGGUGGAUUAAGAGCUUGCUCUUAUGAAGUUAGCGGCGGACGGGUGAGUAACACGUGGGUAACCUACCCAUAAGACUGGGAUAACUCCGGGAAACCGGGGCUAAUACCGGAUAAUAUUUUGAACUGCAUAGUUCGAAAUUGAAAGGCGGCUUCGGCUGUCACUUAUGGAUGGACCCGCGUCGCAUUAGCUAGUUGGUGAGGUAACGGCUCACCAAGGCGACGAUGCGUAGCCGACCUGAGAGGGUGAUCGGCCACACUGGGACUGAGACACGGCCCAGACUCCUACGGGAGGCAGCAGUAGGGAAUCUUCCGCAAUGGACGAAAGUCUGACGGAGCAACGCCGCGUGAGUGAUGAAGGCUUUCGGGUCGUAAAACUCUGUUGUUAGGGAAGAACAAGUGCUAGUUGAAUAAGCUG
rnacentral:rRNA from 1 species